GGACUUCGCUGGAGGAAGUAUGUCACUGGGAGAGAGUGCUUAGGGAUAACAUCCCUGUAGCUCUCCUGUCACUCUCCCUCCCUCUCCCCACCACAUCUUUUCCUGUUUGCAGUGAGGUGAAGAAACCCUUCCUCCAAAUGCUCCUGCCACGGUGAUGCUCUGCCCAAGUGGACACAGCCAAGCAACCCUGUGCCAGGCCCUCUGAAACUAUGAGCGCUUCUCUGUAUGGGCUAGUUGGAGUUUCCAAACAGCUUGGUGGACUGAGAAUUGUCACACUGUGCACAAGGCAGGGUACAACUCUUGCACAGUUGUAGCCAGAGAACCAACUAAAGGUACCCAUAUUCUACCAUGAGCCUUGGGAAUUGCCCAGCAUUACUUCUUCAGUGUACGCUGGAACAACUGUAAACCUGCCCAAUUUCAAUGGGAAGGAAUGUGGAUUCCAACUCUCAAAGGUAUAGCUCCUUGAUGCAGAGGCCCCAUUUGUCCUUCUAUGUGAGCCCCUGAACUGCUGCCACCUCCAAAUGAAGGACACAGACAUGCAGGAGAGGGAUAUGGCUUCCAAGUUCCCUAGCUCCCAGCCUGCCUGCCUCACUGAAGACAGAUGAAGAAGCAGAUGUAGGCUAGGAGGUGAGCAUCAGGCUUCAUGUGGCAUCUCCUGCAGAGCCUUGACUGACAUGAAAGGAGAUGGGUGAGGACUUCAGGUAAUACUGGCAGCCAUCCCACUGGAAAACACAAACACAUCCAUCUGAACAUUUGCAAAUAAAAUGGGGGUCUCUGGUGUACAGCAGCAUGAACAUGCUGAGUAUGGGACUCUGAUGGGAGGACUAGAAGCUGUUGUGCCUCAAAGCACAAGUGACACAUUGUUCAAUUCCUUCCACUACCCACCCAAAAGUAAAAAGGACUUCUGGCUGCAUGGGUCCUGUCUCAUUCUUCUAUCAGUCCUGUUUCUCCAGCCUCUCUUUCAGCCUGCCUCAGUGGACACUUCAGGCCUAAAGCUCUGAAUGUAUGGGAAGGCUGUGUGGUCAUGAGAAACAGCA
rnacentral:lncRNA from 1 species